rnacentral:rRNA from 1 species
AGGACGAACGCUGGCGGCGUGCUUAACACAUGCAAGUCGGGCGGAAAGGCCCUUCGGGGUACUCGAGCGGCGAACGGGUGAGUAACACGUGAGCAAUCUGCCCCUAGCUUCGGGAUAGCUCCGGGAAACCGGAAUUAAUACCGAAUACGACUACGGCCGACAUCGGCUGUGGUGGAAAGUUUUUCGGCUAGGGAUGAGCUCGCGGCCUAUCAGCUUGUUGGUGAGGUAACGGCUCACCAAGGCGACGACGGGUA